rnacentral:lncRNA from 1 species
CAAUCAACCACCCAUUCAUUUGUGGGCCUGUAUGCUCAACAGACAAUGUGAAGACAUGAUCAAUCAACCACCCAUUCAUUUGUGGGCCUGUAUGGCCAACAGACAACAUGUUUGGCAUCGGUGUGCUUCUGGGAGAAGGAGCCCCAUGACAGAUGCUUCCCCCAGAGAAUUGAAGAGGCCACCAGAGAGGGCACAGAGGACUGCAGAUGAGUAAGGAGUCAAGAAGCCAUCAAUUACUCUGAGAUGGUGAACCUGUAAGAGCAAAGUCAGAAGGCAAGCUCACCUCGCUUGGACUCUUAAAGAAAGACUUAUCCAAGACAUGCUGCAACUGUGAAGACAGAAAAAGAGGAAGUGAUGUGUUUCAGGGACAAUAGCCAAUUCCUACUUUCAGAAAUUCAUGGGUACACAUGAAAGAAAAGUUGUGUCACUGUGGUGUCAGGUUCCCUCAACUCUACUAUUGCUGUUGUGCAUAAUAUAAUAUAAUAUAAUAUAAUAUAAUAUAAUAUAAUAGGAGACAAGCCGAUCCUGAUGGUACUCUGCCUCCGGGAUGGGGAACAGCGGCAGCCAAGAUGAGAGUGCUUUGUUUACAUCGCAGGUACACUGCAGCAUCCCUGAGCUUGGAGACAACAGACGGCUCUCAGCACUCCACUUGGGGGCCACUGACCGAGCAGAACUGCAGGAGACCAGGAAGGAGCCAGGAGCAGAAUCUGAGCUCUCACUGAGCAAGUGAGCUUAUGUACAAAUAUAGAAUUCAUCAUAAUGAGGGUCAGCUAAACACACAUAUGCACACAUGCACAUACAUGUCUACAGAUGUAGACAC